AUUGAACGCUGGCGGCAUGCUUUACACAUGCAAGUCGAACGGUAACAGGCCGCAAGGUGCUGACGAGUGGCGAACGGGUGAGUAAUGCAUCGGAACGUGCCCAGUCGUGGGGGAGAACGCAGCGAAAGCUGCGCUAAUACCGCAUACGAUCUAUGGAUGAAAGCGGGGGACCGAAAGGCCUCGCGCGAUUGGAGCGGCCGCUGUCAGAUUAGGUAGGUGGUGGGGUAAAGGCUCACCAAGCCAACGAUCUGUAGCUGGUCUGCGAGGACGACCAGCCACAAUGGGAAGGAGACACGGCCGAGACUCCUACGGGAGGCAGCAGUGGGGAAUUUUGGACAAUGGGAGAAAGCCUGAUCCAGCAAUGCCGCGUGCAGGAAGAAGGCCUUCGGGUUGUAAACUGCUUUUGUACGGAACGAAAAGGCUCUGGUUAAUACCUGGGGCUCAUGACGGUACCGUAAGAAUAAGCACCGGCUAACUACGUGCCAGCAGCCGCAGUAAUAC
rnacentral:rRNA from 1 species